GGGACGACCUUUACAAAUGUUAUACGGUAAUUUCCACACAGACGCUAAUUUGGCUCGUGUAACGCAAACCACUAUAAGAGGGCAACAGAGGGGAUGAGUUAAUUAGCAAUAACAGAAGACCAUGCACGUUCGCCGGCUAUUCGUCAUUACUCGCUCUCUUCGGAAGGCACUCGUCAUAAUUUCGGAACACAUCCGUUUAAGGCCGAGCCGCGUGUGAAGACAAAGCUGAACAACAACAAAGCGGGCGUUUUGUAGAUCGCAAAACGUGUACAUUUCUUCCGUUUUUGUUUUUUUUCGUCUUAUCAUGAUAAGGAUAAAAUGCCCAUUAAAAUAGCCUUUAUACUUUUGGGAUAAUAGCUUUAUUUACACCAACACGCAUCGACACCAUUAUAUGGAAUAAUGUCACAAUCCAUGUUCUAUACCCCGUAGGCUUAGUUCUGUAUUAUGUAGUAUUAUCAGUUCAAGUGUGCUUCUGCUUCUCACGGAGGUGUCGUUUUGAUACAUGCAUCUAUGCAUUAUAAGGUUAUGAUACCGAUCAUACAAUUCCCUUCCUCCCCUCUCGCCUUAUUAUGCGUGGGUCCUCGCAAUCUGAACAAGAAUCAACCCGGCACACGUCUGUCUGACUGCCAACGCUGGUGACGCCUUGGCCCCAGCCUUACUGAAACAGCAAUAUCCA